UCUAAAUGUAAAUUCAAUGAGCUGAAGCUACUUCAAUAGGACCUGGCAGCAGAAAAGGAAUGAUGCAAUGGUGUCAGAUAAUCGUGAAAUUGAGAAGUCGCCCAUCCAUUUGGGUGGGAAAAUAACCAACAUCCUCAGUUGUAAUCCCACUAAGAACCGCCAGGGCGAGACGAAAGCGACAUCGCUUCCAUCUUUACGUGAGUCUUGGAAAUGGUUCAGCACCAUGACGUCCGCCGAAGACGUAGGUGUAGACGAGGAACAAAAGAGAAGACCCCUCGUGGAGGUGGCCUGUGGGGCCCGCCCUCCUCGGGCGCCUGUCGUCGUCUGUCCCUGACUCCGCUCCCCCCGGCGGCCGCAGCGAGUGCGCCCCGCGAUGCAGCGGGCUGUGGAGGGAGCCUCCAUGGAGUCUCCAUCAACCAUUGAGGACCAGGAGACGGUGGCAGGCGGUAGAGAGGCCUGGGCAGGGCCAGCGCCCCGGGCUGCGGAGCACAGGACGGCGGCGCCCAAGGACGCCCCAGGGCAGGCCUCAGCCCCUCCAACCGGUGGGAGCCCAGCUCCAGGGGAGCCCGCAGCUCCCUCCAUCUUGGUUGAUGGAGGCGGGGAGCUGCGUCUGGGUCUCUCCACCGUCGUGCCCGUCCCCUGUGGCCCCGCGGACGCAGACGCCAGCAGCCGGGGUUGUUCCCUUGGCCGAAUGGCAGAGUCCAGUUGGGGCUUCCCGAGGACAAGUUUCCCGGCCCCACGGGGUUUGGUUUUUAGGGGGUCCCAAGUUCCCACAGUCGUUCCGACAAAAUGGAGGACGUCGUCUCCUCCU
rnacentral:lncRNA from 1 species